UACGAAGGGGGCUAGCGUUGCUCGGAAUCACUGGGCGUAAAGGGUGCGUAGGCGGGUUUUUAAGUCAGAGGUGAAAUCCUGGAGCUCAACUCCAGAACUGCCUUUGAUACUGAGAAUCUUGAGUAUGGGAGAGGUGAGUGGAACUGCGAGUGUAGAGGUGAAAUUCGUAGAUAUUCGCAAGAACACCAGUGGCGAAGGCGGCUCACUGGCCCGGUACUGACGCUGAGGUGCGAAAGCCAGGGGAGCGAACGGG
rnacentral:rRNA from 1 species